CCUUCGGGGUACUCGAGUGGCGAACGGGUGAGUAACNCNNNNNUGAUCUGCCCUGCACUUUGGGAUAAGCCUGGGAAACUGGGUCUAAUACCGAAUAGGACCACGCGCUUCAUGGUGUGUGGUGGAAAGCUUUUGCGGUGUGGGAUGGGCCCGCGGCCUAUCAGCUUGUUGGUGGGGUAAUGGCCUACCAAGGCGACGACGGGUAGCCGGCCUGAGAGGGUGACCGGCCACACUGGGACUGAGAUACGGCCCAGACUCCUACGGGAGGCAGCAGUGGGGAAUAUUGCACAAUGGGCGCAAGCCUGAUGCAGCGACGCCGCGUGAGGGAUGACGGCCUUCGGGUUGUAAACCUCUUUCAAUAGGGACGAAGCGCAAGUGACGGUACCUAUAGAAGAAGCACCGGCCAACUACGUGCCAGCAGCCGCGGUAAUACGUAGGGUGCGAGCGUUGUCCGGAAUUACUGGGCGUAAAGAGCUCGUAGGUGGUUUGUCGCGUUGUUCGUGAAAACUCACAGCUUAACUGUGGGCGUGCGGGCGAUACGGGCAGACUAGAGUACUGCAGGGGAGACUGGAAUUCCUGGUGUANCGGUGGAAUGCGCANAUAUCANGAGGAACACCGGUGGCGAAGGCGGGUCUCUGGGCAGUAACUGACGCUGANGAGCGAAAGCGUGGGGAGCGAACAGGAUUAGAUACCCUGGUAGUCCACGCCGUAAACGGUGGGUACUANGUGUGGGUUCCUUCCUUGGGAUCCGUGCCGUAGCUAACGCAUUANNUACCCCGCCUGGGGAGUACGGNCGCAAGGCUAAAACUCANAGGAAUUGACGGGGGCNCGCACAAGCGGCGGANCAUGUGGAUUAAUUCGAUGCAACGCGAANAACCUUANCUGGGUUUGACNUGCACAGGANGNCCGNNANANAUGUCGGUUCCCUUGUGGCCUGUGUGCNNNGGUGCAUGGCUGUCGUCAGCUCNUGUCGUGAGAUGUUGGG
rnacentral:rRNA from 1 species